UACGUAGGGCGCAAGCGUUGUCCGGAAUUAUUGGGCGUAAAGAGCUCGUAGGCGGUUUGUCGCGUCUGCUGUGAAAACCUGAGGCUCAGCCUCGGGCUUGCAGUGGGUACGGGCAGACUAGAGUGCGGUAGGGGUGACUGGAAUUCCUGGUGUAGCGGUGGAGUGCGCAGAUAUCAGGAGGAACACCGGUGGCGAAGGCGGGACUCUGGGCCGAUACUGACGCUGAGGAGCGAAAGCGUGGGGAGCGAACAGG
rnacentral:rRNA from 1 species